rnacentral:misc_RNA from 1 species
CCGAGUUUUUACUCUAAACCCUGCGAACCUUACCUCGAUCGCUUCGGCGGCCAGCCCCGGGGGGCGCUACGCGGCCGCCGACGGCAUCAGACUCUACUAUCUGAAAGUCUUCUGAGUGGCAAAGAAAACAAGUCA